GUCAAGAUGGCCGAGUGGUUAAGGCGUGUGACUUGAAUCCCCUUCAAGGUCAUCACAUGGGAUUUCCCGCGUAGGUUCAAACCCUGCUCUUGACG